UAUGUCAUUUCAAGGAGGAGGCUUACAAAUGUCUGGAGAAAGUGUUCUAAGCAAAGAAAACAGAUACUGAGGCAAGAACAAUCUUGUGUUUGUGGAACAGUAAAUACAGCAGCACACCAGGAAAAAGUGCUGGAGACUAGGAGGUUCAAGAUCAGAGUGCCAGCAGAUUCAGUGUCUGGUGAGGGCUGCUGUCUGCUUCCAAGAUGGGGCUUGUUGAUGCAUCCUCUGAAGCUGAUUAAUGCUGUGUCUUCAUAUGACAGAAGGAACAGAAGGGGGAAACUGAAGCAAACUAAGGCAAGUAACUUGACUGAGGAAGCAGGAGAAAGUGGCAGAGGCAGACAUUAACU
rnacentral:lncRNA from 1 species